AAUAAAGGCGCGUACCUCUUUUCCCCGCGGCGAUGGCCGCUGGCGCCCACAUCCCCCUGGUGCCAGACCUCCAUGCCUUCCCUCCUCUUUAUAUUUCUACUCCUAAACCGUUGGAGGCCCCUCUUGCAAGCUCCCGAGCACCGGAUUUUGCCCUACCAACCUCUUAUGCGGUGACGUUAAGGCUAGCAUCUCCUCGCGCCUCCAAGAAAAGCUUCAAGGAUGUCAGCGGUGAUCUCAAAUAAGCCACCAUAUACAAUAAUAAGCCUGGUAUCUUCUACACAGAUGACGAGGUGUGGGUGCACUUUCCGGACCUGCCGAUACAUAUGUUUGAAAAGAGUAGUCUCUUCUCAGCUGCUAGCAUUAUUGGGAAGCCAAUCAAAAUUGAUGAGGUCACUGCUGAUGGUUCAAGGUUGUUUAUGGCUAGUGUUUGUAUCGAAAUUGACUUGUUAAAGCUAAAGGUGGAGGAUUUCUGGAUUGGGA